rnacentral:rRNA from 1 species
UGCCAGACUCCUACGGGAGGCAGCAGUGAGGAAUAUUGGUCAAUGGCCGAGAGGCUGAACCAGCCAAGUCGCGUGAGGGAAGAAUGUCCUAUGGAUUGUAAACCUCUUUUGUCAGGGAGCAAAGUCACCCACGUGUGGGUGUUGGAGAGUACCUGAAGAAAAAGCAUCGGCUAACUCCGUGCCAGCAGCCGCGGUAAUACGGAGGAUGCGAGCGUUAUCCGGAUUUAUUGGGUUUAAAGGGUGCGCAGGCGGCACGGCAAGCCGGCGGUCAAAUCGCGGGGCUCAACCCCGCCCAGCCGUCGGAACUGCCGGGCUAGAGUGGGCGAGAAGUGCGCGGAAUGCGUGGUGUAGCGGUGAAAUGCAUAGAUAUCACGCAGAACUCCGAUUGCGAAGGCAGCAUACCGGCGCCCAACUGACGCUCAGGCACGAAAGCGUGGGUAUCGAACAGGAUUAGAUACCCCAGUA